rnacentral:misc_RNA from 1 species
GUUGGAAUAUAUGGCUUGUGGGAAUAAGUCGUACAUCGACAAUAUACAAGAAAAUUAAGGGCAUAUAAAUGUUGGUAAAUCAAACCAAACCAAAAUGGCUUAGGUCAUUUUGGUGAUGGGGAGCCCAAUUUCAAGCCCAGUUAAACAUAUAGCCUACCAAUUUGAUGUUCACACUCAUGGGUCCAUAAUUCUCAAUAUGGUAUCAGAGCCUAGAUAAAAUUUUGGAAAUUUUAUUUU